GGUUUGUAAGAAGGGAAAGACUUCAUUUGUCAAAAUUUAAGAAUUUGCCAGUUGGGAUUAAUUCCAAAUGAAAGAUCCUUGGCCCAUCCACUUCUCCCUCUUUUUUGGGAUUUUUUUAAUCCUUUACUUUGAAUUUAAAAAUACUCAUCCUGUUAGGUAAGGAUGUGGGUAUUUGCUACUGUUCUCAAUUUUUGUUUUUCACUUUUCACUUUUGGAGUUUUCCUUUGUACAUGGAUAAUAAAUAAAUACAAACUCAUGAUUGAAUGUUUCUUUUAAUGUGCUCUUUUCGUUUCGUCCUCUCCUCCAUAUGAUGCAAUUCUACGAGAUGCUGUCAAG
rnacentral:misc_RNA from 1 species